AUGGGUGCUCCUGCUCGUGGUGGUUGCCCACAUCUCGGCGGCGCGUGGGAGCUAGUGUCCAUGGCCAGAGCCGGACUACUUGCCCACGACCUCACCCACCAGCCCAUCUGUAAACACUCACUCUUGAAGGUGGAGAAGCAGUGCACACCCUUGUCUGAGAUUAAGGAUUUGGCAGUGCAUCCAAAGUUCAAUUUGGCUGCAGUGAUUUAUCAAGAUAUGUUUGCAACAGAAGCUGCAAAGAACAAAGUUGAAUACAUAAGGGAAACGAGGCGACCUUUUGAUGGAUGUGGUCAAAAUGGUCCCAUAAUCCCCUAUCGCCUCUCAAAAAUCUCUUCCGGUGGUGAUUCAGUCUUCAUCCGUAGUCACUAUAUCAUCAAAGAUGAUUUUGCUGUCUCGGGCGUACAAAUUAUAAAUAACAAAGAUUAUGAUGGAGCCAAGGCUGAUCUGUGGUCAUGUGGGAGAAUGGCCAUUGUAGAGCUUAUGAAAAAUGAGUGGUUCAAGAAAGGAUACCAACCUCCUAGGUUUGAGAUAAUCGAUGUCAAUCUGGGUGACAUCAACUAUGUUUCCAAUGAAUUCGGGUUUGCGUCGAGGUUUUACCAUAGGUGGAAGAAGCAACAUAGCUCGCCAAAACUCAGGGCAGCGUCACUGCCAUUGCUAGACAGCUCCAGGGACGAUUGCAGCUCCAGGACUGCCCAGGCCAACGUACCUCUCACCCAUGUGCCUAGAGAGUCGGCAGGUGAAGGGCAGGGCUCAACAGGAACUGGUGUAGCAACCGUUGGAGAAGCGCGGGCGCUGGCAUACAUUGCGAUCCGCUCCCUGUGUAGCAGUCUACGCCAGAGCGAUGCAUCACCAGCCUCCAUCUGCCGCAUCAAACUCCACUUGCAGCCAAAGCAGCGCCUACAAGAAGGGAACGGCGCUGAGGCGCCGCCGUUGCCCGGUCCGGGAGGCCGGACCUGGGAUUUCUCCCGGUGCUCGAGGAGGAGAUCUGGUCAGGGUCAUGCCAACGCCUCCAAGGAGGUGACGGCACCCUCGGGCGUCGCCGUUGACAGCGCAGGCCGUCGCCGCGCGGGGAUUUCGCCCCGACCCAUGAACAGGGACCUCAGAUGCAAUGGCAGACCGGACUUGGAGAAGAACGCCGGAGAAGACCAGCACACAUGGAGGGAUGCCUAG
rnacentral:rRNA from 1 species